rnacentral:rRNA from 1 species
UACGUAGGGCGCAAGCGUUGUCCGGAAUCAUUGGGCGUAAAGAGCGUGUAGGCGGCCCGGUAAGUCCGCUGUGAAAGUCAAAGGCUCAACCUUUGAAUGUCAGCGGAUACUGCCGGGCUAGAGUCCGGAAGAGGCGAGUGGAACUCCUGGUGUAGCGGUGGAAUGCGCAGAUAUCAGGAAGAACACCAACGGCGAAGGCAGCUCGCUGGGACGGUACUGACGCUGAGACGCGAAAGCGUGGGGAGCGAACAGG